GUCAACUGAAGGCUUUUGAAGUCUCCGCAUGGAGGAUAGAUCGCUCAUGGAGGGCUUCACUCUCGCCCUUAAUUAUACGUCGACGCUUCAACCGCUCUCAAAUCGGAAAUAGAGGUUCGCCGAUCACAUUCGAGCUUCGCUCUCGGAUAGGAGGACUGGGAAUGGGGGUUGAAUGUGGGCAUGUCGAACUCUGUAAUAUGCAACCAUGGAAGAUGCCGGGAGAAGGCCAUGUAUUCUUGUUUGUUUCAAUAUGUUUUUGGUUUGCAAACGUUUGCACUCUAUAUAUCCUCGUUAUAAAAUUUCAUCAUUUACAUGUAAUCAUCAGGGCCUAUUGCUUCUUUAUAUACCAUGAGCAUUUUUCCU